rnacentral:tRNA from 1 species
GUCUAUGUAGACUAAUAUUAAAUCGUGAUGCUGUUAACUUCAAAAUGAGAUACGUCUCCGUAGUCG